UCAGCAGUGUAGCUGGUCUCGGUAUUGUUCCGAGAUAUCCAUCCCUGAGGUUUCUGCCCCCGGCGGUGAAUUAAAUUUUGUUGCCGCGGUCACAACAACGGAAACCAUUCGUAAUUUCGACUCCGACAUUUCUGUUAGGAAACCAUGUCAGAAGACCCCGUGAACGGUAUUUUGCGGAGCUACUCAAUGGGAGAAAACUGCCCAUAGCGGUUCUCAGGUGCACCAGGAGGAUCAGUCCGGCACAGGGACACACCCAGGAAGUCCCGAGAAGAGGUCGAAUCAGGCGAAACUUCAACUUCACGCAGUCCCUCCUGAGUGCCAGAUGUCGGCAUGCUGAUAUCAAAGCAGGACCUUUUCACAGCUUCCCAAGUCGAUGAGGUGCAGCCUGCUCCGUCCACCUGACACUGUGCCAACGACAGAAGAAGAGCCAGAGAGAGGAAUGCUGGUCUCACAAACUGAGUGAAUUCAUGACAUUCCAGCAGGCUUAUCUGAUUGCAUCUGCAUGGACUGGACCAGACCGCACGCUGUCUCUUGACCAGUGUGCCACCACUCAACAUUCUCCCCUUCAAACAAAGAUCUGUGCGUAUCUGUUUGUAUGUGUGUGUGUGUGUGUGUGUGUGUGUGUGUGUGUGUGUG